rnacentral:rRNA from 1 species
AUUGAACGCUGGCGGCAGGCCUAACACAUGCAAGUCGAGCGAGCGGCGGGCGGGGGAGUAAUGUAUGGGGACUGCCCGAUAGAGGGGGAUAACAACUGGAAACGAUAGCUAAUACCGCAUACUAUCGGAUAACCCAUAUGGGAUUAGCUAGUAGGUGGGGAAAUGGCUCACAUAGGCGACGAUCCCUAGCUGGUCUGAGAGGAUGAUCAGCCACACUGGGACUGAGCCACGGCCCAGACUCCUCCGGAGGCAGCAGUGGGGAAUAUUGGACAAUGGGCGCAAGCCUGCUGCAGCCAUGCGGCGUGUAGGAAGAAGGCCCUAGGGUUGUAAAGUACUUUCAGUCGGGAGGCGUUACCGAAAGAAGAAGCAACGGCUAACUCCGUGCCAGCAGCCGCGGUAAUUC